rnacentral:tRNA from 1 species
GGUGGCUCAGUGGUAAUGUGCAUGCCUUGCAAGCAUGAGGCCCUGGGUUCAAUUCCUCAGCACCA